rnacentral:lncRNA from 1 species
CACAGGUGAGAGAGUUUGAGUGCACAGGUGUGCGUGCGUGUGAGCGUGCGUGCUUGCGUGCGUGCGAGAAGGUCAGAGUGCGCCGCGUGUCCGUGAGUGAAAGUGCGCGUUUUUGUGUUCAGAUGGAGGACGCCCCCAGCUCCCAGAAGAGCGGGCGACUUUCUUCCUCUCACGACUUGGGGAGAGGAGGAGGAGGACCGUUUCCGACGUGGACAGGUUUCGACGUCUUAGGGGUCCAGGUAAAGGCGAUUCAAUUAUGGGAUAUGAGGCUGGUCAGGAAGCAUGAGAGCCUGCACCAUCCUGCAGGCCACAGAGACCUUCGGUGGACAGUUCUGAAUGGGAUAAAGCCUGCAGGCCAGUACUCCCAUGAGAGCUCUUCUCCCACAGGUGAGAUCUGCCUGGCAUGUCAACCAUCCAGGAGGACAGUCUGCAACACGUAUCACCUGAGGUGAGGGUGGAGGUGAGGUUCAGUGGCUAAAAGAACAGCUUUUUGAGGAGUUCCCAUCGUGGCACAGUGGAAACGAAUCCAACUAGGAACGAUGAGGUUGCUGGUUUGAUCCCUGGCCUCGCUCAGUGGGUUAAAGAUCUGGUGUUGCUGUGGCUGUGGUGUAGGCCAGCAGCUGUAGUUCCGAUUUGACCCAUAGCCUGGGAACAUCUAUAUGCCGCGCGUGUGGCCCUAAAAAGACAAAAGACAAAAAAUAACAAAACAAACAAACAAAAAACAGCUGUUUGAGACAGCCAUGCUCAAGGCUGGGGGGAUGGCACAGAGAGGGUGCAGUCCUGGGAAGGGGAGGGUAAGGUGAGGCAGGUCAGAGAAGGUCAAGGCAGCCUGUGGCCCCCACUCCCGGGUCUAAGACCCAGCCCCUACAUUUACCAGGCUCUGGGCUGCCAGUGAGGAGCUAAGGUGGCCGCAGACAAUACCUUGCCCAGAGCUGUGGCCUGGGGUGGGAGGGAAGCCUAGUUCCUUCCAGCACAAAGUGUUCAGGAAGAACUCAGCCUAGGUCCAGCCAGGCCUUUUCGAGGUGCAAUCGACCUGAUAGCCAGGCUAAUGGGACCCUCUGGGCAUCAAGUCCAGGGCGGGGUUGCCUGUAAGCAAGAGUCUCAGGCGCUUCGUCAGCAGGCUGCCUCAUGCAAUAUGUAACAGUGCAUUAACCUGCACUCCCAGGAUGGAGCCAGUGCGGCAGAAUCUGCUGCUACUUGGAAGAAGAGGCACAAGAAUGGGCCUAGGUGGUUCCACGCAGUACCAGGAGGGGGGCAGGAGGUCUGGAUACCACAGCAGAGCCUGUAGGUCCUUUCCUUCCUGCUGCACCCCCACCCCCACCCCCUGCUUCCAUUUGUGCAGAUGAGGUGGGCAGGAAACCUGGCAUUUAUACCACGUCACCCCAGCCUCCCCUGAGUGGGACAUUGGUAACUGCUUGCAGCCCCCACCUCCCUUCCAAGCCCAGAUGACUC